rnacentral:rRNA from 1 species
AUGGCUCGGGGGCAAUGGUGGACCGACAGAGAAGGUGGCUCGGGCAGGGCGACAUUGAAUCGUCCGCAACCAGUGUCAGAGCGUCUUAUCGGAGGGUGGGUUGGGGGAAACGGUGAACCAAUGGAGAAGGCAGCUUGUGUAGGGAGGUGCACGACAUUGGCACUAGCCGUGACCAGUGUCCGUGGGUACGGGAAGAGGAAGAAGAGGUGGGGACAGAAAGAGGAAGAAGACGACGAUGAGCACAUAAUUUUACCAUCGAAAAAAACAGGCGACUGGUGCAUAUUUGCUCUCAUGAUUGAGUUAAGAGUUCUGAAUGGCAUUCAAGGACCAGAUUAUGGACUAACUUCUCAUGGUAAUCAUCGCAUCUUCCUUUUAGGGACCACUUUCUCAUGGCAAGUGACCAAUUUUGCCAUGGCCGAGCAAGAAUUUAUCGUGACAUGCAUGCAUGCUAGCGUCAGAUUGAUGGUUGAGACGAAAACCAGCGAACAAAAAAUCGGACGACGCCCGAGCUCCCUCCGCCCGCGGGUCGCCCGCUCCCUCGCGCCCCUGUUGCUCCCUCCUCGAUCCCGAUCUGGAUCGAGGGGACGAGGAGCUCCUGCCUCCCCGACGGCCGACCUCCUCCUCGCCCCGCCGAUGCGUCCGGCGCCGCCACGGCCUCUGGAGCCAGGGAAGCCAUGGCCUGAUCUCGGCCUCGAGGUCCCCGCCGCCGUCUCCUGCAGCUUCUGCCCCGCCGCCUCACCGCCCGAGCUCGCCGUCGCACCAACCUCGGCGCCGCGCCGCCGCCGGCUCUGGUCGCCUCCACCUCCGCGCCGUGAGGAACCCGCCACACGCGUCAAGGCGAGGCGCCUCCUGGGCUCCGUCCGGUUAAUUUGGAUCCGUCCAUGUCGCCGCGCCCGCCCAAACCGCAGGCCACACUUCCUCUUCCACCUCCGCGUACUCCUGGUUGCAGCCCCAGCUCUUCACGGGCAGGGAGAGAAGGGGGGCAUGAUCGGCGGGGCAGAGUUCUUUCGGAAGGACAGCGUGGUGGGCAACAUGGACGGAUACCUCAGCUACCUGUCCCUCGAGUAUGACUUCGUCUCGGACACCAAUCCUGCUUGGGUAUCUUCAUUUUGGAAGCAGGAAUCCUUUCCUCAUAAGAUGGAUGAGCUGUAG